UAUGGCUGGAAAUGCUGCUUGCUGAUAAUGUUGAUGCAACCGUGCUUAUGGGCGAUGGUGGUAUCAUAGGAACGGUUGUGUUUGCUUCCCUGCAGUGUUGAGCCAUUUACAGGUUGUUGGCUUAAGCUUACCUGGUACAUAUCAGCUGUCCUUUACAUGUAAACCAUAUCGUACAUGAUGAGGCCCCUGACUCCAUCAGUCUGAGUGAUGUCUUGGACUUUGGUGUUUUCAGUUUCCUACAAUAGGAGGACAAUGUUAUGUUUGAAACCAUAAAAUGCCUGGUCCUUUUCCCCUCAGUAGAUUGUGCCAAAAUUUAAAUUUAUAAUGUGUGGGCUAAUAAUGUGUAUCACUCCGUAAUGAUGAUAUUUUGCAGAUCAAAAGAAUCAAAAUAUGGUAUGUUAAGAGACUAUGAGGUGUUUGAUCCAUACUUUGAGUAAUGUUUGUCCGAUACUGCUCCCAUGACAAGCUUGGUGAUGCCAUGAAGGGUAAUAAGCUCCUCAAGUCCUUUAGCAACAUCAUCGUUCUCAACUAUUAUUUUAUCACAGCUGACCUAUGAUAGAAAAAUUAUCAAUAAUCCAUUCAGGAAUUCAGGAUACAUGCUUGUUAGUUUCUCCUAUUUGGUGAGUGCAUACUUAGCGGCAAGUAUUAGACACAACCCAUCCCUAGGGUGUUCUUGCAACCUAGUUGGCUGAGGUGUCAACAUGAAAAAAAUAUCUAAAAGUCAUUCUGCAAGAACUUCCAUAUAUUUACUCUGUCUAUGUGUAUAAAACUUGAAACUAAAAUUCAAUUAUGUGAUUUUAGUGACAUGAUAAAUUAUUCUUUUUGUGUUUCUAACAUACUUUGAGUUUGAAGUCAAUUUUAGAAUUUGUUUUGCCACAACACUCCAUAGACUUCACCACAAAUAAAAAUCCCCAAAAAUUUCAUGUUUUAUCUAUGCCUGAACCAAAGAUGAGUGAAUAUGUUGCCUUAUUUAGUUGGUUCGCUAAUUAGUUUAGGAAAGACAUAGCUGAUGUAGGGAAGAAAACCUUGAGCCUUGUGCAUAGCACAACAUAUUCAUCUAGUCUUCCCGAUGUUUUUUCUAGCUCCUUCUUUCUGUGGUCCUUGACCUGUUCUGGAUGCAUCCUAGUAUAAUGCAUUUUCGCUCCCACUGGAAUAGCAGAAGGACAAGGUGUUCAUAAGGUGAUAAAUACAAAUCCUGGUAAAGACUACUCUGAACUCUGAAGAAGAAUAGUCCUGGUGGGAUUCUAUGACUGCAUAAAGGUAUGAUGCAAUUUUCAUUCAAAUGGUUUACACAAUUUAUGCGUGCUGCUGCCACCCUGUGUAUCUAGACUAAGUUUAUGGAUGAUGCUUGUUUUUUUACUGCAGCAAUAGUACUAGAUUGACACCAAAUGGUGGUGCUUAUCAUAAGAAAGUGAACUGUGUGACUGAACUUAAACCUAUCCAUCAGAUGCAGGUGGAGUUUGUUUGUCACCUGUGCAAAACUGGAGAGUGCAGACUGAUCAGGCAGGACUCAAGGUAUUCUCCCCAAAACAUUAUUCUGAGCUUACGUUAAGAGAUGUAAAAUGACAAAAUGAGAGAGCCCUAUCGUCUUGACUGUA